UCACACAUGCAUAUCGGACAAUUUUGAAAGUUGGUCAAAUUGGGGGUCUCAGAGCGGAACUUCAAGUUACCUGAGUGUUUUCCGCCAUAUAUAUAACGCUAGGUGACGUUCACGUUCAUGCGCCGCAGUGACGUUAAUUAAGUUCGACAGCAGAGGGCGAUAUUGGAUAAAAAUGGCGGCCUUUUGAAACGAAUGAAAAUCGGACAAUUUAUUUGCUAUUUUUAUUCACUUUAAUUGCUAUUGCACGAACGUCAUGUCAUUUAAAAUAAUGUGUUUAAACCAACAGUUGCAUCUAUAACAGAUUCUUGACAAAAAAUUAAGUAGCUGCCACAUUUUCUUCCCUUUUGGCCUACUCACCACAGUACCAACGCCAUAUGUGGUUGUUGGCCCCACAGAGUGAUGAUAGGGGUCUGCAGCUGCGGCAUACACGCGACCAUAUCUGGUGAAAUUGUCACAAUAUCGGCAGAUGGUGACUGAGCCACCCUAUAUGCAGGAUAACCUCCCUGGAACACAUCACAUAACCAAUGAACAAAAUGAUGAUAGGAAAUGAGUGGACACUGAGAAGGGUAGGCAGGCACAGCAGCAGGCGUGGCCGCGGCGGAGCGGAUGGUGUUGUAAACGGUCCGACCUCGACCCCUCAGUGCCGAACCGCGGUAAGCCAAAGCGGGCGCCGCCACUGGGUAUGGGAAACCGGCGACUACAGAAGAAACUAGUUAUUCGCUACCCUUAAGUAUCAUGAUGUGGUAGAUUGUGUUUACUUACCUGUAUAGAGUUCUGGUGCGUACAUGGCCCCCAUGACAGGGUUGAUCUUCCACCCAGAAGCUGCACAGACAAGAAAGUAUAAUUGACAACUAUGAAAUUUGACA